UACGGAGGGUGCGAGCGUUGUCCGGAAUCACUGGGCGUAAAGGGCGCGUAGGCGGCGCGGGAAGUCAUCGGUGAAAGUUCAGGGCUCAACUCUGAAUCGGCCGGUGAUACUCUCGUGCUCGAGCACUGUAGAGGCAGGUGGAAUUCCGGGUGUAGCGGUGGAAUGCGUAGAGAUCCGGAAGAACACCGGUGGCGAAGGCGGCCUGCUGGGCAGUAGCUGACGCUGAGGAGCGAAAGCAUGGGGAGCGAACAGG
rnacentral:rRNA from 1 species